UGCCAGCGAUGGUGGCCGAUGGAGGCGGAGAAGUCAGCAGAAGCCAUAGUAGCCGACCUCGGCGGCGAAGGGC
rnacentral:ncRNA from 1 species